CCUACGGGAGGCAGCAGUGGGGAAUUUUGGACAAUGGGCGCAAGCCUGAUCCAGCAAUGCCGCGUGAGUGAAGAAGGCCUUCGGGUUGUAAAGCUCUUUUGUCAGGGAAGAAACGGUGGGAGCUAAUAUCUCCCGCUAAUGACGGUACCUGAAGAAUAAGCACCGGCUAACUACGUGCCAGCAGCCGCGGUAAUACGUAGGGUGCAAGCGUUAAUCGGAAUUACUGGGCGUAAAGCGUGCGCAGGCGGUUUUGUAAGUCUGUCGUGAAAGCCCCGGGCUCAACCUGGGAAUUGCGAUGGAGACUGCAAGGCUUGAAUCUGGCAGAGGGGGGUAGAAUUCCACGUGUAGCAGUGAAAUGCGUAGAGAUGUGGAGGAACACCGAUGGCGAAGGCAGCCCCCUGGGUCAAGAUUGACGCUCAUGCACGAAAGCGUGGGGAGCAAACAGGAUUAGAUACCCUGGUAGUCCACGCCCUAAACGAUGUCUACUAGUUGUCGGGUUUUAAUUAACUUGGUAACGCAGCUAACGCGUGAAGUAGACCGCCUGGGGAGUACGGUCGCAAGAUUAAAACUCAAAAGGAAAUUGACGGCGUGAGAGNGCGACGACGACACGAGGAGGAGG
rnacentral:rRNA from 1 species